rnacentral:lncRNA from 1 species
CAGCGACAGAGAGAUUAGCACCCAUCCCUUCAUCUGGCUCUCCAGGUUCCUCACACAUGAAACACUGGAAGGCGUGGUAGUAUAUCGAGAAAACAAAACACCCAGUAGAAGCCAGAUGUAGCGAACUACUCCUGCUGUUGAUGGAUUUAAAUAAUCAAACACUCACUAGUUACAGGCAACAUCAUCAUUGAGUGAAGUUUAGAAGAUUUUUUGACGAAUUAUUUCUGAAACGUCAACUGGAGAGUGAUGAAGUGGCAAAUGAUAGUGCCAAAUUGAGAAAAUUUGCUUGGAAAUGGCUUUUUCUCUUCAGCUUAAACUUUCUUUGAAACCUCUGGGAAAGAUUUUUAAAAUAUUGGCUUUUCUUGUUGUCAUUCGGCAACAAAUAUUUGUAUUUUUAUACAAAGGAAAUGCUUCACUUCCAACUUUCUUUCUUGCAACAUGCCUAUUGUCUGCUUUUUAAAUCCCUUUGCAUGAAUAAAUCAAUUCUAUAGUUUCAUAGGUAAAAUGAGGGGUUUUGUUGUGCCAUGUUGGUUAUUCAUUUGUGGUGUGAAAGCUGAUAUUACCCAGAAAAACUCUGUGUUUGUCUGUAUACCUUUUUUUUGCGUGUUGCCAUAUUUAUGUCAUUUUUUUUUUACAUUUGUGCAUGUGUGCGUUGUGUUGCAUAGUACGUCUUUGUCUGUGUUACAUGUAGUGUAGUAACAUCCCAACUCCUCCUUCUCCCACGCCUCCCUCCCCUCCACACCUUUAGACCGUACCCAUGGGUGUCCCUCCUUUUAUGGGGACUCACCCCUGCUUCAGUAUGGUAAGACCACCAGUCCAGCCCACUAAUGACCCUGAACCUCUGUGGACAUUAAUGGACACGGAUGGACAAUGAUCCCUUUAGGCGGCCCACAAACCCUUCAGACAGUCGAUUUGUGUCUCAUUGUCUGUUUUUACUUGUGUCUGUGUAAGGCCGGAGCACCAGGCGCUCCCAUGAUGCCCAUGGUUAGGCCAGGCUUCCCUGCUGCCGGAGCAGGCCCAGCCCCUGGAGCACCGAUGUCUGGUGCCGCCCAGAGCCCCAGAAAGCCCCCACCACCCAGGAAUGCUCUGGAUGAUCUCAACAUUAAGGAUUUUAUGUAGAUGGACAGACCUGUAAACUCUUAAGGUACGUUUGAUCACACUUUGCAGUUUGUAAAGUAUGUUCAGAUGAGUUUUAUUAUAAAUCUGCUGCGCUUGAUAGUUCU